UCCCGGUUUUCUAAGUUUUAUAUUUUUACUCUGAAAUUUAUUACAAUUGUUGUUUUACUUGUCUAAUUUAAAACUAAUACUCUGUACGUUUAUUUUUAUACUCUUUUCUGUCUCUUUCACAAUUUCUCCUGUUUCUCUCAAUUAGGUGAAUAUUUAAAUCUAAGUUUGAUUUGUUCAGUCUUGGCAGCAGACGGUGGCUGCGGCGGAACGGGGAACGAUUGUGGCGGCGGUGGAACGAGAAACAAUGGAUAAGUAAUAGAUUCGAUUAGGCCAGCAAUAUAAGAGAGUUUAGAAGAGGAGGAGGAGAGGUAGAGGUGAUCUCCGCUGACGACAGUGGAGGCGAUAUUCGGCGGUGAAGUGGAGGCGAUCUUCGGCGGCAACUGUGAACGGUAAAGUGGAGUUUCAUUUUAUUUUCUAUGUUGAUUUUGAUUUUAUUUUAAGAAUCGUAGUUAUGGAAAUUUUAAGGUCUAGGCUUUCUUGAGGCACUUGUUCCUCAACUAUUCAAGAAAAAUGUUCGUAUCUCUUUUGAAGGAUUGGAAUUCUCUUUUUAUUACAAUUUAUGAUUCCCAUAAACUCACCAACUGAUUAAGGAUCAUUGUUUGCAAAUGGGUUGUUAUUAUACCUUGUGGUCCCUCUAAUUCCAUGAAGUCCAUAGAUUGGAGUUUGCCAUAUCCUACAUUGCAAUCACGGCAACUUUUUAUGUAGCUAUCCAGAUACUGCCAAAGAGAAUGUGAAAAGAUAUGAUAAAUGUUUUGAGAAGCUUCCCUCUGCAGACAAGUUCAUGAACAGAUUAAGACAAAGAUGAGGCUGAAGAAUGGUUUGUUGCCCUUAAGACAUUGAUAACUAUUAACAGCUAGUUAGCUACCAAUGCAAGUGGAGAUUAGAGUCCAGAAGUGAGAGUGCAUAAAUAUAGGAAGCAUGCCAGGGAAAGAAGGCUCUAACCGAAUUCAUUUUUUACAUCUUUUGAGCACAGUCGUAGGUGCUAUAUAUGAGACAUGGCUUGUACUAGAAUAUUAUGAUAAAGUUAGUUAAAGAUGAUAUUAUUAGUGAAUACUUUUUGGUU